GACGAACGCUGGCGGCGUGCUUAACACAUGCAAGUCGAACGGAAAGGCCCUGCUUUUGUGGGGUGCCCGAGUGGCGAACGGGUGAGUAACACGUGAGUAACCUGCCCUUGACUUUGGGAUAACUUCAGGAAACUGGGGCUAAUACCGGAUAGGAGCUCCUGCUGCAUGGUGGGGGUUGGAAAGUUUCGGCGGUUGGGGAUGGACUCGCGGCUUAUCAGCUUGUUGGUGGGGUAGUGGCUUACCAAGGCUUUGACGGGUAGCCGGCCUGAGAGGGUGACCGGCCACAUUGGGACUGAGAGACGGCCCAGACUCCUACGGGAGGCAGCAGUGGGGAAUAUUACACAAUGGGCGGAAGCCUGAGGCAGCAACGCCGCGUGCGUGAUGACGGCCUUCGGGUUGUAAACCGCUUUCGCCUGUGACGAAGCGUGAGUGACGGUAAUGGGUAAAGAAGCACCGGCUAACUACGUG
rnacentral:rRNA from 1 species